GCUGCCCGGAACUGAGCAAUAUCGAGAGGCAGGAAGAGAUACAAAAAAUAUUUAUAUUUUUUUGUGUUAAAUCCUUUCAAUCGCUGUUGUUUGAACCGGGCAA
rnacentral:rRNA from 1 species